AGCGAACACUGGCGGCAGGCUUAACACAUGCAAGUCGAGCGCCCGGGCAACCGGGAGCGGCAGACGGGAGAGUAACACGUGGGAACGUGCCCUUCAGUUCGGAACAACCCAGGGAAACUUGGGCUAAUACCGGAUAAGCCCUUACGGGGAAAGAUUUAUCGCUGAAGGAUCGGCCCGCGUCUGAUUAGCUAGUUGGUGGGGUAAUGGCCCACCAAGGCGACGAUCAGUAGCUGGUCUGAGAGGAUGAUCAGCCUCACUGGGACUGAGACACGGCCCAGACUCCUACGGGAGGCAGCAGUGGGGAAUAUUGGACAAUGGGCGCAAGCCUGAUCCAGCCAUGCCGCGUGGGUGAUGAAGGCCCUAGGGUUGUAAAGCCC
rnacentral:rRNA from 1 species